rnacentral:rRNA from 1 species
UAGUCUGGGAUACCACUUGGAACAGGUGCUAAUACCGGAUAAGAAAGCAGAUCGCAUGAUCAGCUUUUAAAAGGCGGCGUAAGCUGUCGCUAUGGGAUGGCCCCGCGGUGCAUUAGCUAGUUGGUAAGGUAAAGGCUUACCAAGGCGAUGAUGCAUAGCCGAGUUGAGAGACUGAUCGGCCACAUUGGGACUGAGACACGGCCCAAACUCCUACGGGAGGCAGCAGUC